CUUUGGGGCUUGAAAAAUGCGGCAUCCUGUGGAGAAUACAAACCUAAAUAAUCGAGUCCAAACUAGCGGACCGUGAGCUCUUGUGUAUACCAGGCCAGCCUCCUGGCAGCAUCCCUCGCAUCCAGCCCAGAACCUGGCACAAAGGCAGUGCCUUCAGAUGUUGUUUGACUAAAUGGAUAGAGAUGAUAACAGCAUUUCUCGAGCAUUCAUCGUGUGCCAAUUCUCCAUAAUUUUCUAGACAUCUUGCUUUAUCCUCACCACUGUCUUCUGUGGUAUUAUUUUGAUUUCUACAUAACAGAUUUGCUCUUUUAUUUAUGUCACAAUUUAUUCGAGGUUGAGUGUGUAGGGCGUGCAAGACAGGCAACAUACCGGCUCUCUUUAAAGGCGCUUACAAUCCAGUGGAUGGGGAAACUGAGGCUGGCANGGGGGGGGGGGGGGGGGGGGGGGGGGGGGGGGGUUGGGAGGAGAAAGCCCUCCAACCUCCAUCCGCGAGGAGACCAAAUCAGUGAUGGGAGAGUUUCACGCAAAGGAGUGACAUGGUCUGACUUGCGUUUCAAGUGGAUCACUCUGGCUAGCGCGGAGAGCAUGGACCAAAGGGAGUAAUGGUGAAAGCCGAGAGCCUGAUGAAGAGGUUGUUACUGAUGAUCCAGGUAAGAGAUGACGGAGGCUUGAAUGGGGUGGGGAGUAGCGGGGGAGAUUAUGAGAAGGGGUUAGAUUCUAGGCACAUUUUACCAGUAAGCAGGAUUUCCUGUUGGGUUAAAUGUGGGGUGUGAAAGAAACAGGAAUUAAAGGUGACCCAGAGGGUUUUAGCCAGCGUGAUUGGAAGGAUGAAGCAGCUGUAUAUUGAGAUGGGGAAGGCUGAGGAAGAAGCAGGUUUGGGGGCAGAAAGGGAAUAUCGGCGCUCAGGUUGGACAUCUGAAGUUUGAAAUGUAAGAAGGUGGAGUUCCCAUUGUGGCUCAGCAGGUUAAGAAUCUGACAUAGUCUGUGGAGGAUGCGGGUUUGAUCCCUGGCCUUGCUUAAUGGGUUAAGGGUUUGGUGUAGCCACAAGCUGUGGCAUAGAUCGCUGAUGUGACUCGGAUCUGGCAUUGCUGUGGCUGUGGCAUAGGUCUCGACUGUAGCUCUGAUUCGACCCCUUGCCUGGGAACUUCCGUAUGCCACAGGUGCAGCCAUAAAAAGAAAAAAAGAAAGAAAGGAAGAAAGAAAGAGAGGUAAAAAGGCAUCCCAGAGCGAGAUAUUGAGGGGUGUGUUGCAGAGGGUUGAAUUGUGUCCCCCAUCCCCCAAUUCAUGUUUACCUGGAACCUGAAUGUGACCUAUUUGGAAAUAGGGUCUUUGCAGAAGUAACCAAGUUAAGAUGAUUGAUUGGAUUGGACUGGAUUGGAGCAGGCCCUUAAUUCAAUUACUGGUGGUUUAUAAGAAGAGGGAAAUUUGGAUCUAGAGAAACACAAAGAGGGCAGACGAUGUGAAGACACAUAGGGAGAAAACCAUGUGAAGAUGGAGGCAGAGGUGGAAGUGAUACAUCAGCAAGCUGAGAAACAUCAAGCUCCUGGCAACACCAGAAACUAGGAGAGAGGUUGGAAGCAGAUUCUCCCUCAGAGCCCCCAGA
rnacentral:lncRNA from 1 species